rnacentral:rRNA from 1 species
CAGCAGCCGCGGUAAUACGGAGGGCGCGAGCGUUACCCGGAUUUACUGGGCGUAAAGGGCGUGUAGGCGGCCUGGGGCGUCCCAUGUGAAAGGCCACGGCUCAACCGUGGAGGAGCGUGGGAUACGCUCAGGCUAGAGGGUGGGAGAGGGUGGUGGAAUUCCCGGAGUAGCGGUGAAAUGCGCAGAUACCGGGAGGAACGCCGAUGGCGAAGGCAGCCACCUGGUCCACUUCUGACGCUGAGGCGCGAAAGCGUGGGGAGCAAACCGGAUUAGAUACCCGAGUAGUCCCUGUCUCUUAUAA